rnacentral:rRNA from 1 species
GACGAACGCUGGCGGCGUGCCUAACACAUGCAAGUCGAGCGGAGUUUUUCGGAUUGAGACCUUCGGGAGGAUUUCUGAGAAACUUAGCGGCGGACGGGUGAGUAACGCGUGGGCAAUCUGCCUCUUACAGGGGGAUAACACAGGGAAACCUGUGCUAAUACCGCAUAAAACUGCUCUGUGGCAUCACGGAGUAGCCAAAGGAGCAAUCCGGUGAGAGAGGAGCCCGCGUCUGAUUAGCUAGUUGGUGAGGUAACGGCCCACCAAGGCGACGAUCAGUAGCCGAACUGAGAGGUUGAACGGCCACAUUGGGACUGAGAUACGGCCCAGACUCCUACGGGAGGCAGCAGUGGGGAAUAUUGGGCAAUGGGGGAACCCUGACCCAGCAACGCCGCGUGAAGGAAGAAGGCCUUGGUUCGUAAACGUUACUUUUACCUACGGACGAAGAACGUGACGGUACUCGGUAGAAAAG